rfam:Tupaia belangeri cont1.652639, whole genome shotgun sequence.
UUGUGCUCUUCCUGAUGAUUGAGUGUUCACCUGGAUUUUCUGACCACCUUCCCUUGUGCUAUUCUGUCAGCCUACAGAUUCUGGUACCUGGAUUUUUACCCUUGGUGAUUUCUACCACCUUACUACUGAAGAAGACACCAUUCCAGUGGACCACUGUGACCUAAGAAGCAUUCAGCCAUCAUGAUGUGGCCUUUACCUCCACUCCUGUCCUUUCUACCCAGAUUCAGCACAGUCUUUUA